rnacentral:sRNA from 1 species
UAUCACCUGGUCCUUUGCGGAAGCAACCGA